rnacentral:rRNA from 1 species
CCUACGGGUGGCAGCAGUAGGGAAUUUUCGGCAAUGGGGGAAACCCUGACCGAGCAACGCCGCGUGAAGGAAGAAGUAAUUCGUUAUGUAAACUUCUGUCAUAGAGGAAGAACGGUGGAUAUAGGGAAUGAUAUCCAAGUGACGGUACUCUAUAAGAAAGCCACGGCUAACUACGUGCCAGCAGCCGCGGUAAUACGUAGGUGGCGAGCGUUAUCCGGAAUUAUUGGGCGUAAAGAGGGAGCAGGCGGCACUAAGGGUCUGUGGUGAAAGAUCGAAGCUUAACUUCGGUAAGCCAUGGAAACCGUAGAGCUAGAGUGUGUGAGAGGAUCGUGGAAUUCCAUGUGUAGCGGUGAAAUGCGUAGAUAUAUGGAGGAACACCAGUGGCGAAGGCGGCUCUCUGGUCUGUAACUGACGCUGAGGCUCGAAAGCGUGGGGAGCAA